ACUCCUACGGGAGGCAGCAGUGGGGAAUAUUGCACAAUGGGGAAACCCUGAUGCAGCCAUGCCGCGUGUGUGAAGAAGGCCUCGGUUGUAAGCACUUCAGUAGGAGGAAGGUAGUGUAGUUAACACCUGCACUAUUUGACGUUACCUACAGAAGAAGCACCGGCUAACUCCGUGCCAGCAGCCGCGGUAAUACGGAGGGGUGCGAGCGUUAAUCGGAAUUACUGGGCGUAAAGCGCAUGCAGGCGGCCUGUUAAGUCAGAUGUGAAAGCCCGGGGCUUAACCUCGGAAUUGCAUUUGAAACUGGCAGGCUAGAGUCUUGUAGAGGGGGUAGAAUUUCAGGUGUAGCGGUGAAAUGCGUAGAGAUCUGAAGGAAUACCAGUGGCGAAGGCGGCCCCCUGGACAAAGACUGACGCUCAGAUGCGAAAGCGUGGGGAGCAAAC
rnacentral:rRNA from 1 species